CACACCCCAUCUCCCAAAACAGAAUCUGACACACCGGUGACCGCCCGUCUCCUUCCCUGGGCGAGAAUGGAGUCUCCUCGGGUCGACAGGUCGGAGUCGGAGUCGGCGCCGCGGUCGCGCAGACCCAGCGCGGCGGAGAACAACCCUUCGCCCACCUCCUCCUCCGCUGCCUCUAGUGCCGGAGAUGCAGACGGCCGCGCCGCCGCCGACGACCACGAAGCGGUGGCUGACCGGCGUCUCGUCAGUAGCAGCAGGUUCGGCCACCUUGCCCUCCGCUGGUUCAGGGUCAUGAAGAGCCCGCGGCCAGCAACGAUUCCGCCGCCGGCAUUGACCGCGGCGCGCACACCGCGCGGACGCUGAACCCGCUCAACGCCGAUGCCUUCGCCGCGGCCGCUGCCCAAUUCGCGGGCGAAGUGGCAGGCUCCCACUACGGUGCCGGUUCUCCAUCUGCAUCGACAUGAGGUUAAACGUCAGGUUAAGAUAGCUGAUCAGAGGACAUUUAUCUUUGGUUUAACGUUGAGCACCGCUAUUGCACUGUUCACCACCAUGAAGGUGGAGAGUGUCAUGUCCGCCGAAGUCGCAGCUUGGGUAGGUGGAGGCAGCGCAAUUGCUUGGUUGUGUGUUAAUGGGGGAUCAAUGUCAAUUUGUAUGGCCAAAGCAUCUUUGAGCAGCGAGCAGCUCAAAACUUGAGUCGUCUUGGAAUGAUGGGUUUAGCGCUCCUCUAUCCAUGUACGCAUGGUUCUUCCCUCACCUCCUGGGGCUAUUCUGGACACUUGUGGCACUGGCUGCUGCACUUCAUGGUGUUAUGUGGCUUCUGAGCUGCUUCCGGCAUGAUGAUGAUAGCACCGUCAGAUUGAGCGAGGAGGACCUGUGCAUGUGCCCGCGGUGCAAACCUUCAUGCACCUGCUGCAGCAACCUUGGAUCCGGGGCUCAUGCUGUUGAGUCCGUGUGAGUGCCAAGACAGUCUGACAAUAUAUAUAGCUACAGGUGCUCGUUCAAAAAUAUGGACCGACUUGAUUACUUCUGUCCAUCCCAAUUACACUGACAUGAUUCCAAAUUCAACCGACAUGAUGGUUCUGUGGUGGUGUUCUGAACAUCAUGGGUGAGGAAUGACUUUCUGUUUCGUAAGAAUCGGCAAGAACCUAAGCAAGAAGUGUGCAAGGACUAACUUGGAUGCUUUUGUUCAGUCCAAAAUGACUGAUUGGCAUGAUUAGGUAUCUUCUCUAGUUGGAGAAUGUCAGUUUUCUUAUCAGAAUAGAGGGAAACUAUUCAAGGACUAGCUUGGUUGCAUUGGUUGACAUGAUGGACAACUAUUUGGCAUAUGACUAUUCAUUGUGGUCAGACUACACAUUUGUAUCUGUGUCUAUCCUGCAACUGUCCUCGCCAUUUUGAAUGUGCUAGUAAAGUAUGAAAAGAUCUCACUCUUUCACGUGUCACCUUUUUUUUUCGUUCUUUCGAAACCGUGUUCUGUGUCUCCUCUGCAUUAUGUCCGCCUCUAUCUACAGAAAAACAAACGGUUGCUUUGCUGAUUCCUGUGUGUACUACAAUGCUGUCUGUCUGUCAUCCAUCGCCGGGACCUGAACAUAGAUACCAACCCAAGGUCCAGAGUGGUAGUUCGUGUUUCUUUCUUUGCCUGCCUGCUUAUAUGCCGUUUCCAGUGGGCGCCGACGAUGCAAAUGGGCUCUCCGGCAGGAGUUCGAUCUGGUUGCUGCGAUCAGAAACCGAGUCAUAUGAUGAACAACGACGAACUGGCUCGAUAACACCAGUUGUUGUUGGCCUGUAUGGGAGGGGCCUGGCUCUGGCUGGUUGAGACGAUGUCAUCAAGUUGAUCAGCCGUGGAGAGGGGAUCCAUCGUCCGUCCCACUUCCUUGGAACCUGAAGACGAAACAUGAUCAUCAGAAAGAUAAGACACAGAGAGAAAAGACUUGGGAGUUGGCAGCAGCAACCGACCUGCGGAUUGGGACUGGGACUGUGAGUGGGAGUUGAAGGGCGCAACGUCCCCGAUGCUGCAAUCGAAGUAGGCGGCGCACUGCGGCUCUACCACCCGGAGCCCGGCGAGGUGCCUCCUCUCGAGCUCCAGCAGCUGCUGCCUGUCGCGCGCCAGUUGCCUCCUCUCCAGCCUUGGAGAAUCAUACUGGUCUGCUCCCACAGAUUAGUUCAUCAGGUACUGUUAGCUAACAAAUUUUGAUCCGGCCGGUGUUGAAACUGCAUUGUUGUUUGUAGGUACUAUAGUAGUACCUGGAUAGAACUCUGGAUCGGUCUCGAUCCAGCGUGGAGGGUAGCAAUGCGUCGUCGACUUGUUGUUGGUCCUGUCCACACCGCGCACAUGAAUUACUAAGUUGUAUC